GAGCUCAUGUUGCGUGUCGUGCAUGUAAUAUAUCAGCUACUCACUCCGCGUUAACCAUCUGAGUUGUUAGCUGAGUUGUAGUAUCAGUCCGGAAUGUUGUACCUUGUCCGCUCCGCGAUGCUGUACCUUGUUCUGCUACCCGUUCUACUUGAGGCCCACGUACACAACUUCGAUCAGAACCUCCUAACAACAGUCUACAAGCCCCCUGAUUAUGAGGGGUACUGUGAUGGUGCUCCUACUAUAUACUCCUACCACAUCCACGUGCUGUUCUGGCAGAACAACAAGCCGCGCACUGCUAGUGCUCUGGAGCUGAGAGAGCAGUUUGUAAAGAGGUUUGAACUUGAGGGGAAGGACUGUGAGAUCUUCCCGGGAGACCCUGCUCCUGGACAUGAGAUGUGCGUGUUUGAAGUGGAUUGGGUGGCAGCCGGACCCUUCACCACUGCUCAGUACUCCUUUUACAUUCCACCUGGGGAUCUGCUGGAAACUUCUGCUUGGAUGCUGCAACACAGGGGUGUACAAGAUGUGUUUAUUCACCCGAAUACUGGCUGUGAAACUAACGAUCAUACUAAAUGGUACACUUUCUCUGGUGACAAAUGGCCGAUAGAUGCUUCCAUCUUCAGCUGUGACCGUCCUGGAUGCAAGCCAAAAUCGUGAUUCUGAAUAUGUUAAAAUGAAAAAGAUAAAAAUGACAAUGACAUUAGUUCCAAAGAAUCAUCAAUACCGAAUCAGCUGGUUGGGUGUAUAGACAUUGUAUUGGACAGACAUAUUUUAUUGUAUUCACUCUCAUACUUUAAUAUUAUGACUUUUUUAAUGUAUGUGAAUAGAAAAUCGUGAUUAGAUCUUCGAUUGUUCUUUAAAUGUCAAAGAUCUCAACAGAUGUUUGAUGAAGUUUUGAUGGAUUGUCCAGAUUUUUUAAUUCGUUUCUCACAUGGGUCAGCGUCUCAUCUUUGAACUAACUCUCAAUUCUGUUAUAAUCUUAUCCUAUACUAGUCCGUCUAUCUAACCUGACUAUGAUAGCUGUGGUUCUCAUCACUUUACUGGCUGCUUGUGUCAACGCACAUUACCACAUACAUGACUGGAAUUCUAUGAAAACCAGCCUCCCGUCUCCUGGUAGUGGAGGUAACAAGUCUUGUGAUUAUGCUGAGGCCUUAUCCUACCACAUCCACGUACUCUUCUGGCAGAACAGUCCUAAACACACUGCCGGUGCUUUGGGUUUAAGAAACAGAUUCAUUGCGAAGUUUAAUCUGAGGGAGAAUUGCACAAUGGAUGCUGGAGACCCCGCCCCAGGACAUGACAUGUGCGUAUUUGAAGUUGACUGGGAACCAGCAGGACCCUUCACCACUGCUCAGUACUCUUUCUUCAUCCCUCCUCAGAAGCUCCAGGAGACUUCUAUCUGGAUGUUGCAGCACAGAGGUAUCUAUGAUGUGUUCAUUCAUCCUAACAGUGGAUGUGAAACUAACGAUCAUACUAAAUGGUACACUUUCUCUGGCAACAAAUGGCCGAUAGAUGCUUCCAUCUUCAGCUGUGACCGUCCUGGAUGCAAACCCAAGGGUUUCCAGAAUUACUAAACAAUGAUACUUUUGAAAGGGACAAAAAACAAUUUGAAUUUGAACAUAACUAUUUUUAGAA